rnacentral:rRNA from 1 species
GACGUAGGGCGCGAGCGUUGUCCGGAUUUAUUGGGCGUAAAGGGCUCGUAGGCGGUCUGUUGCGUCGGGAGUGAAAACUUACAGCUUAACUGUGAGCGUGCUUCCGAUACGGGCAGACUUGAGGUAUUCAGGGGAGAACGGAAUUCCUGGUGUAGCGGUGAGAUGCGCAGAUAUCAGGAGGAACACCGGUGGCGAAGGCGGUUCUCUGGGAAUAUCCUGACGCUGAGGAGCGAAAGUGUGGGGAGCGAACAGG